UGUGCUGGUAACAGUGAUAUGGCACACGUGAAGUUGGCUGAUUUUGGACUUGCCAGAGAAGAGACAAUAAGUUGUACUAUGACUUGUGAGGCUGGCACUUACAGAUGGAUGGCUCCUGAGGUAUUUGGCCGUGGGCUUAGAAUUGGAGAUACAUUGCACUAUGAUCAUAAGCUGAUGUUUACAGCUUCGCUAUAGUUGUGGGAGUUGAUUACUAACGAACAGCCUUUUGUGGAAUACCUCAUAUGGUUGUGCCUUAUCAUGUCAGCCGGGACCAGAGGCCAAGUCUUUAUGGACAUUCCAGGUGAACUUGUCGGCAUUAUCGCAUCUUGUUGGCAGAGGAUCCAAACGCACGUCCUGAGUUUAAGGAGAUUACUAUCACAUUGACAAACUUGCUGAGGUCCGUGUGCAUAGACAGUUCUUGUGAAUCCAUUGAGGAACCUGCUUCAAGGGUGAACUCGAACAGAAGUGUUGUGCAGGCAGUAAUGAAUUAUCCAACACCAAACGAGGAAGAUGACCAUGAUAAUAAUACAUAUGAGGGUUUCAAUAACCAAUCAGAUUCAAGGGAGUAACUGUCAGGUGGAACCUAACAAAAGAAAGGAAAAAACAAAAAGAAAGUGAUGAAACUGAUAUCUCCUCUCUUCAAAAUGUUCAGGGCUUGUUUGUACAAGCCAUGACCUACUUUUUUGUUUUCCAGAAAGGGGUGAAGAGAGGGUUUGAGCUU